UAUCUCUGUAGAGUCUGCAUAUCAAUAAGCGGAGGAAAAGAAACUAACAAGGAUUCCCCUAGUAACGGCGAGUGAAGCGGGAAGAGCUCAAAUUUGAAAUCUUCAAGGUUUGACCUUGACGAAUUGUAGUUUAAAGAAGUGUUUUCGGUUAGAGGAGUAGUAAAAGUUCUUUGGAAUAGGACAUCAUAGGGGGUGAGAAUCCCGUAUUUGACUAUUCUUUCUAGCUUUGUGAUACACUUUCAAAGAGUCGGAUUGUUUGGGAAUGCAGUCCAAAAUGGGUGGUAAGUUUCAUCUAAAGCUAAAUAUUGGCGAGAGACCGAUAGCGAACAAGUACCGUGAGGGAAGGAUGAAAAGAACUUUGAAAAGAGAGUUAAACAGUACGUGAAAUUGUCAAAAGAGAAGCGUUUGACACCAGUGUUGUUUUUCCGAAAAUCAAUUAAAAAUUGAUUCAUGCCAGGUUGUAUUGACCUUAUCAGCUUGCAACUUGGUUUUGGGUCUCUUUUUGAUGCACUUUUCGGUUAACAAGUCAACAUCAAUUUCCUUUGCUGUAAAAAGGUAAGAGGAAGGUGGCUUCAAUUCCGGUUGAAGUGUUUAUAGCCUUUUAUCUCUGCAGUCGGGGAGAUUGAGGUCUGCAGCGUAGAUCCUUCGGGGCUAGAUACACUUAUGCUAAGUUAUAGCUUUUCAUAGACAACUUGUUGACUAUGUUUAGUCAUGUAGCUUACUCGUAAGUGCUAUUUUACCUACGCUUAGGAUGUUGAAGACUCUACAGAGAU
rnacentral:rRNA from 1 species